AGUUCCGAACCCGUCGGC
rnacentral:snRNA from 1 species